CUUCCACAAUGGACGCAAGUCUGAUGGAGCAACGCCGCGUGAGUGAAGAAGGGUUUCGGCUCGUAAAGCUCUGUUGUUAAAGAAGAACGUGGGUGAGAGUAACUGUUCACCCAGUGACGGUAUUUAACCAGAAAGCCACGGCUAACUACGUGCCAGCAGCCGCGGUAAUACGUAGGUGGCAAGCGUUAUCCGGAUUUAUUGGGCGUAAAGCGAGCGCAGGCGGUCUUUUAAGUCUAAUGUGAAAGCCUUCGGCUCAACCGAAGAAGUGCAUUGGAAACUGGGAGACUUGAGUGCAGAAGAGGACAGUGGAACUCCAUGUGUAGCGGUGAAAUGCGUAGAUAUAUGGAAGAACACCAGUGGCGAAGGCGGCUGUCUGGUCUGUAACUGACGCUGAGGCUCGAAAGCAUGGGUAGCGAACAGGAUUAGAUACCCUGGUAGUCCAUGCCGUAAACGAUGAUUACUAAGUGUUGGAGGGUUUCCGCCCUUCAGUGCUGCAGCUAACGCAUUAAGUAAUCCGCCUGGGGAGUACGACCGCAAGGUUGAAACUCAAAAGAAUUGACGGGGGCCCGCACAAGCGGUGGAGCAUGUGGUUUAAUUCGAAGCUACGCGAAGAACCUUACCAGGUCUUGACAUCUUCUGCCAACCUAAGAGAUUAGGCGUUCCCUUCGGGGACAGAAUGACAGGUGGUGCAUGGUUGUCGUCAGCUCGUGUCGUGAGAUGUUGGGUUAAGUCCCGCAACGAGCGCAACCCUUAUUACUAGUUGCCAGCAUUCAGUUGGGCACUCUAGUGAGACUGCCGGUGACAAACCGGAGGAAGGUGGGGACGACGUCAAAUCAUCAUGCCCCUUAUGACCUGGGCUACACACGUGCUACAAUGGAUGGUACAACGAGUCGCGAAACCGCGAGGUUUAGCUAAUCUCUUAAAACCAUUCUCAGUUCGGACUGUAGGCUGCAACUCGCCUACACGAAGUCGGAAUCGCUAGUAAUCGCGGAUCAGCAUGCCGCGGUGAAUACGUUCCCGGGCCUUGUACACACCGCCCGUCACACCAUGAGAGUUUGUAACACCCAAAGCCGGUGGGGUAACCUUUUAGGAGCUAGCCGUCUAAGGUGGG
rnacentral:rRNA from 1 species